GUCAGGAUGGCCGAGUGGUCUAAGGCGACAGUCUCACGUUUUGGUCUUCAAUGAAGGCGUGGGUUCAAAUCCCACUCCUGACA
rnacentral:tRNA from 1 species